rnacentral:rRNA from 1 species
CCUACGGGUGGCUGCAGUGGGGAAUUUUGGACAAUGGGCGCAAGCCUGAUCCAGCCAUGCCGCGUGCAGGAUGAAGGCCCUCGGGUUGUAAACUGCUUUUGUACGGAACGAAAAGCCUCUCUCGAAUAAAGAGGGGUGAUGACGGUACCGUAAGAAUAAGCACCGGCUAACUACGUGCCAGCAGCCGCGGUAAUACGUAGGGUGCGAGCGUUAAUAGGAAUUGCUCGGCGGAACUUGUGCGCAAGCGGUGAAAUCCCCGGGAUCAACCUGGGAACGGCCAUUGUGACGGCAAGGCUGGAGUACGGCAGAGGUGGAUGGAAUUCCGCGUGUAGCAGUGAAAUGCGUAGAUAUGCGGAGGAACACCGAUGGCGAAGGCAGUCCCCUGGGCCUGUACUGACGCUCAUGCACGAAAGCGUGGGGAGCAAACAGGAUUAGAUACCCCAGUAGUC